GUCUAUGGCCAUGCCACCCUGAACAUGCCCAAUCUCGUCUGAUCUCAGAAGCUAAGCAGGGUCAGGCCUGGUUAGUAUUUGGAUGGAAGACCACCUAGGAAUACCAGGUGCUGUAGGUG
rnacentral:rRNA from 1 species